CGAGGUAACCGAAGUUGUUGUUCAAUGUAAACAAACAAACGAUACCCGGACCAUCCGCUACAAUCUAGCAAUUACCGGCGAUUGCCUGUGGUUUAACCUGAAUCUCCAAAACAAAGUGAUAGCAUUCAACCUAACAACAUGCAUUAAAACUAUCUAGUCGCAUAAUUUCGACUGUGAUGUCGGUCAUUGUACAGUAUUAUCUCAAAAUCUGGCAACCCUGAUUGGUCUGUGCCCGGAAGUAUUCUGCCUCCAAGUAGUUUUUAUUGCCUAAAUACAUUCAUCAUUCGGCUAUCAACGAUUUGUAAUCCAUAACUAACUACAUUCUAAAGACGGGUAAAACAUCUGAAAGCAUGUCUAAAUUGUUAUUAAAGCAGAAGACUUUUCUGCUAGAUACCCUGUCAGGAAGCCCCGGGGAGAUCCUACAGAAUAUAAGCGAGAACGAACUAGUGACGCAUCACGAAUACAGGAAACUGUACGCUACCAGUAAAUCAUCUCCAUAUGAUUCCAUUGUCGAACUGCUGGAUAUGCUCAUUGGUAAGGGAGAAAAGAGAUGCAAUGAAUUCCUGACCCUGCUCACAAAGCCUGCAAUCCAAUUAGCCUACCCCAAACUAGAAGAAAAGCUAAGUGACACAACUCUGGUCAGCAAUCCAGUACCCCCAGACAUCUGCACCCUCAACUGUCAAUACCCCUGCUCCAAAGAUUCAAACUGCUCCAGUAAAAAAGAAACAAUGUGGAAAGGAGGAGGAAAAGAAGAAAACUGUUCGAAGGCCAAGGCAAGCAUCUGGGACCAUCGUUAGUGUUUCGGAGAUAAUAACGGGAAACAGCGGGGGUAAAUACUUCCAAGCUGUUCUGAAGCAGGAGGAUGGGCCGAUUGACAUUCUGAACUUAGAUAUAACGACACGUAAACGCUUUGUAGGAGCACAGAAAAGAUGCUCUUCAGUGAAA